rnacentral:rRNA from 1 species
AAAUUGAAGAGUUUGAUCAUGGCUCAGAUUGAACGCUGGCGGCAGGCCUAACACAUGCAAGUCGAGCGGUAGCACAGAGAGCUUGCUCUCGGGUGACGAGCGGCGGACGGGUGAGUAAUGUCUGGGAAACUGCCUGAUGGAGGGGGAUAACUACUGGAAACGGUAGCUAAUACCGCAUAACGUCGCAAGACCAAAGUGGGGGACCUUCGGGCCUCAUGCCAUCAGAUGUGCCCAGAUGGGAUUAGCUAGUAGGUGGGGUAACGGCUCACCUAGGCGACGAUCCCUAGCUGGUCUGAGAGGAUGACCAGCCACACUGGAACUGAGACACGGUCCAGACUCCUACGGGAGGCAGCAGUGGGGAAUAUUGCACAAUGGGCGCAAGCCUGAUGCAGCCAUGCCGCGUGUGUGAAGAAGGCCUUCGGGUUGUAAAGCACUUUCAGCGGGGAGGAAGGCGUUAAGGUUAAUAACCUUGGCGAUUGACGUUACCCGCAGAAGAAGCACCGGCUAACUC